rnacentral:rRNA from 1 species
UACGUAGGUGGCAAGCGUUGUCCGGAUUUACUGGGCGUAAAGGGAGCGUAGGUGGAUAUUUAAGUGGGAUGUGAAAUACUCGGGCUUAACCUGGGUGCUGCAUUCCAAACUGGAUAUCUAGAGUGCAGGAGAGGAAAGUAGAAUUCCUAGUGUAGCGGUGAAAUGCGUAGAGAUUAGGAAGAAUACCAGUGGCGAAGGCGACUUUCUGGACACUUACUGACGCUGAGACGCGAAAGCGUGGGGAGCAAACAGG